UUAUAAGAGACAGCAGCAGCCACGGUAAUACGAAGGGGGCUAGCGCUGCUCGGAAUGACUGGGCGUAAAGGGCGCGUAGGCGGAUUGUUUAGUUAGGCGUGAAAUUCCUGGGCUUAACCUGGGGACUGCGCUUAAUACAGGCAGCCUAGAGUGAGGAAGAGGGUUGUGGAAUUCCCAGUGUAGAGGUGAAAUUCGUAGAUAUUGGGAAGAACACCGGUGGCGGAGGCGGCAACCUGGUCCUUGACUGACGCUGAGGCGCGAAAGCGUGGGGAGCAAACAGGAUUAGAUACCCGAGUAGUCCCUGUCUCUUAUAC
rnacentral:rRNA from 1 species